rnacentral:rRNA from 1 species
UUUGGAGAGUUUGAUCCUGGCUCAGGACGAACGCUGGCGGCGUGCCUAAUACAUGCAAGUCGAGCGGAGCUUAUUCUUCGGGAUAAGCUUAGCGGCGGACGGGUGAGUAACACGUAGGCAACCUACCCUCUAGACUGGGAUAACUACCGGAAACGGUAGCUAAUACCGGAUAAUUCCUUCACCCUCAUGGGCGUGGGAUGAAAGGCGGAGCAAUCUGCUACUAAAGGAUGGGCCUGCGGCGCAUUAGCUAGUUGGUGGGGUAACGGCCUACCAAGGCGACGAUGCGUAGCCGACCUGAGAGGGUGAACGGCCACACUGGGACUGAGACACGGCCCAGACUCCUACGGGAGGCAGCAGUAGGGAAUCUUCCGCAAUGGGCGAAAGCCUGACGGAGCAACGCCGCGUGAGUGAUGAAGGUUUUCGGAUCGUAAAGCUCUGUUGCCAGGGAAGAACGUCCGGUAGAGUAACUGCUACCGGAGUGACGGUACC